rnacentral:rRNA from 1 species
AACGAACGCUGGCGGCAUGCCUAACACAUGCAAGUCGAACGAGAUCUUCGGGUCUAGUGGCGCACGGGUGCGUAACGCGUGGGAAUCUGCCCUUUGGUUCGGAAUAACAGUUGGAAACGACUGCUAAUACCGGAUGAUGACGAAAGUCCAAAGAUUUAUCGCCAGAGGAUGAGCCCGCGUAGGAUUAGCUAGUUGGUGUGGUAAAGGCGCACCAAGGCGACGAUCCUUAGCUGGUCUGAGAGGAUGAUCAGCCACACUGGGACUGAGACACGGCCCAGAAUCCUGCGGGAGGCAGCAGUGGGGAAUAUUGGACAAUGGGCGAAAGCCUGAUCCAGCAAUGCCGCGUGAGUGAUGAAGGCCUUAGGGUUGUAAAGCUCUUUUACCCGGGAUGAUAAUGACAGUACCGGGAGAAUAAGCUCCGGCUAACUCCGUGCCAGCAGCCGCGGUAA